GUGAGGAAUAUUGGGCAAUGGGCGAAAGCCUGACCCAGCCACGCCGCGUGAGUGAUGAAGGCCUUCGGGUUGUAAAGCUCUGUGGGGAGGGAAGAAAAAGCGGGAGAGUAACUGCUCUCGUGUUGACGGUACCUCCUUAGCAAGCACCGGCUAACUCUGUGCCAGCAGCCGCGGUAAUACAGAGGGUACAAACGUUGCUCGGAAUUACUGGGCGUAAAGCGCGUGUAGGCUGACAUGCAAGUCGGGUGUGAAAUCCCAGGGCUCAACCUUGGAACUGCACUCGAAACUGCACGUCUUGAGUACUGGAGAGGGAAGCGGAAUUCCGGGUGUAGAGGUGAAAUUCGUAGAUAUCCGGAGGAACACCAGUGGCGAAGGCGGCUUCCUGGACAGUAACUGACGCUGAGGUGCGAAAGCGUGGGGAGCAAACAGGAUUAGAAACCCUUGUAGUCC
rnacentral:rRNA from 1 species